AUGGGACACUCAAAACAUGUCAAACAAGUUUGUGUGCAUGAGUGUGUGUGUAAACGAUGAUGUGGGACUGCCAAGCUUUGAUUCGCACUCGGUGGAAUAGGACGUCCUUGAAACAGUGAAAUGAACCUGUUCACUCUCUCUCACACAUACAGAAAGUAGAUCUGCUAUACAGAGAAAUGGUGGGUUUUCUCUGCCUUCUCCUCUCUCUGACUGCUCUACAAGUGGAGGGUUUCAGUGGGGGAGGAUCUUCCAUUGCUUCUCAGUGUGGCUCAAUGCUACCUGGUAAUAGUUUUCAUGGCAGCACAGGGCAGAGCUCUUCCUCACCAUACACUGUCACUGUCAACCAGACCACCUACCAGCCAGGAGACACCAUCCAAGUGACUCUGUCAGGAACCAUCACCUAUAAAGGGUUUCUUCUGGAGGCCCAUGAGGAAGGACAGAACACCGCUGUGGGAACGUUCUCUCUCGGCAGUGGGACUGGGAUCGUUCUUGUGCCUUGCAAUGGGAUCGCAGCCUCUGGGGUGAGUCAAAGCAACAACCAGGCUA